rnacentral:rRNA from 1 species
GACGAACGCUGGCGGCGUGCUUAACACAUGCAAGUCGAACGGAAAGGCCCUGCUUUUGUGGGGUGCUCGAGUGGCGAACGGGUGAGUAACACGUGAGUAACCUGCCCUUGACUUUGGGAUAACUUCAGGAAACUGGGGCUAAUACCGGAUAGGAGCUCCUGCUGCAUGGUGGGGGUUGGAAAGUUUCGGCGGUGGGGGAUGGACUCGCGGCUUAUCAGCUUGUUGGUGGGGUAGUGGCUUACCAAGGGUUUGACGGGUAGCCGGCCUGAGAGGGUGACCGGCGACCUUGGGACUGAGGUACGGCCCAGACUCCUACGGGAGGCAGCAGUGGGGAAUAUUGCACAAUGGGCGGAAGCCUGAUGCAGCAACGCCGCGUGCGGGAUGACGGCCUUCUGGUUGUAAACCGCUUUCGCCUGUGACGAAGCGUGAGUGACGGUAAUGGGUAAAGAAGCACCGGCUAACUACGUG